rnacentral:rRNA from 1 species
AUGCUGAUGGGGUCCAACGAGGCGGACAAGCCGCUGCGGCGGAUCGGCGCGUCAUUCGAGCAGCUCGCGGCCGUCGCCAAGCAGCAGCAGCAGCCCGCGAUGGCUGCGGGGGACUUCUCACGCGCCUGCUCCAACGUCUCCGUCCUCUUCUGCUGCCUCGACAUCGCCUUCAAGUUUGCGGAGAUGGACUACGUAGCCAAGGCAAGCGGCCGCUCCUCCGCCCCCUCUCCUCCCCCGCUACCUGCUCUGCUGUUCGGUAUGCUACUUCGUUGUGCUUGUACUCUGCGUGCCAUCCACGUGGGAAGGUUUUUUGAUCUUGCAGGUCGUGGCGACCACCAACAAGACACCCAACUCCCGCACCCCGAACUACCCUACCCGAGCCUGCCGUCUCAGCUGAUGUGUCAAGUCCACAACAUCACCAUGCAUGUAGGUGUACUUGGUUCAUCUUCGGGUUCAGAUGUAGCGGCUGACAAGGACAAUGAGGAGGUCUACGCACAGAUGACUCUGCAACCAAUAAACUCUUUUAAUUGUACAUUUCGAGAUCAGUGCCAGUGUUUAUAA